GAAAGCGAGAAAGCGUUGCCAACGGCAACGACCCGAAGGGCGAAGCGCGCAGCGCUGAGUAAUCCUUCCCCCGUCAUCC
rnacentral:sRNA from 2 species